AGCCAUCUUGCCCUUUAUUCUCGGAUCACACAUGCACGCAAGCAUCAACUCUUGGCAAGACACUUUAUGCGCUCAUUGAACCUACGUGUUAGUUGCUCCUCGAGCCUCCUAACAAGUGCAGCAACAUCCCCAAGUAGUUGGCCACCAGGUACCACUUUCUUUUUAGAAAUUAAGCGACUCAGCUUAUUUGAGAGGUGGGUGAACAAGGGAAUUACUUGACCAAGGCUCGUAUUUUCUUGGCUUAAAAUCUCCGUAACAUCCCUGAAUGGCCUAAGGACUUCCACUAGCUGCCCAAUCAUUAACCAAUCCUCCCUGACUAAG